rnacentral:rRNA from 1 species
UUGAACGCUGGCGGCAGGCCUAACACAUGCAAGUCGAGCGGAUGAAGGGAGCUUGCUCCUGGAUUCAGCGGCGGACGGGUGAGUAAUGCCUAGGAAUCUGCCUGGUAGUGGGGGAUAACGUCCGGAAACGGGCGCUAAUACCGCAUACGUCCUGAGGGAGAAAGUGGGGGAUCUUCGGACCUCACGCUAUCAGAUGAGCCUAGGUCGGAUUAGCUAGUUGGUGGGGUAAAGGCCUACCAAGGCGACGAUCCGUAACUGGUCUGAGAGGAUGAUCAGUCACACUGGAGCUGAGACACGGUCCAGACUCCUACGGGAGGCAGCAGUGGGGAAUAUUGGACAAUGGGCGAAAGCCUGAUCCAGCUAUGCCGCGUGUGUGAAGAAGGUCUUCGGAUUGUAAAGCACUUUAAGUUGGGAGGAAGGGCAGUAAGUUAAUACCUUGCUGUUUUGACGUUACCAACAGAAUAAGCACCGGCUAACUUCGUG